rnacentral:rRNA from 1 species
UACGGAGGGUGCAAGCGUUACUCGGAAUCACUGGGCGUAAAGGACGCGUAGGCGGGUUGGUAAGUCAGGUGUGAAAUCCUACAGCUUAACUGUAGAACUGCACUUGAAACUACCAAUCUAGAGUAUGGGAGGGGGAGAUGGAAUUAGUGGUGUAGGGGUAAAAUCCGUAGAUAUCACUAGGAAUACCGAAAGCGAAGGCGAUCUCCUGGAACAUAACUGACGCUAAGGCGUGAAAGCGUGGGGAGCAAACAGGAUUAGAUACCCUGGUAGUCCACGCCCUAAACGAUGAACACUAGUCGUCGGGAUGCUAGUCAUCUCGGUGAUGCACUUAACAGAUUAAGUGUUCCGCCUGGGGAGUACGGUCGCAAGAUUAAAACUCAAAGGAAUAGACGGGGACCCGCACAAGUGGUGGAGCAUGUGGUUUAAUUCGAAGAUACGCGAAGAACCUUACCUAGCCUUGACAUUGAAAGAAUCUUCCAGAGAUGGAGGAGUGCCCUUCGGGGAGCUUGAAAACAGGUGCUGCACGGCUGUCGUCAGCUCGUGUCGUGAGAUGUUGGGUUAAGUCCCGCAACGAGCGCAACCCUCGCCUUUAGUUGCCAUCAGGUCAAGCUGGGCACUCUAAAGGGACUGCCGGUGUCAAACCGGA